AUGCACGCUGGCGGCGUGCCUAAUACAUGCAAGUCGAGCGAACAGACGAGGAGCUUGCUCCUCUGACGUUAGCGGCGGACGGGUGAGUAACACGUGGAUAACCUACCUAUAAGACUGGGAUAACUUCGGGAAACCGGAGCUAAUACCGGAUAAUAUAUUGAACCGCAUGGUUCAAUAGUGAAAGACGGUUUUGCUGUCACUUAUAGAUGGAUCCGCGCCGCAUUAGCUAGUUGGUAAGGUAACGGCUUACCAAGGCGACGAUGCGUAGCCGACCUGAGAGGGUGAUCGGCCACACUGGAACUGAGACACGGUCCAGACUCCUACGGGAGGCAGCAGUAGGGAAUCUUCCGCAAUGGGCGAAAGCCUGACGGAGCAACGCCGCGUGAGUGAUGAAGGUCUUCGGAUCGUAAAACGCUGUUAUUAGGGAAGAACAAAUGUGUAAGUAACGAUGCACGUCUUGACGGUACCUAAUCAGAAAGCCACGGCGAACUACGU
rnacentral:rRNA from 1 species